AAAUUGAAGAGUUUGAUCAUGGCUCAGAUUGAACGCUGGCGGCAGGCCUAACACAUGCAAGUCGAGCGGAAACGAGUUAUCUGAACCUUUGGGGGACGAUAACGGCGUCGAGCGGCGGACGGGUGAGUAAUGCCUAGGAAAUUGCCCUGAUGUGGGGGAUAACCAUUGGAAACGAUGGCUAAUACCGCAUGAUGCCUACGGGCCAAAGAGGGGGACCUUCGGGCCUCUCGCGUCAGGAUAUGCCUAGGUGGGAUUAGCUAGUUGGUGAGGUAAGGGCUCACCAAGGCGACGAUCCCUAGCUGGUCUGAGAGGAUGAUCAGCCACACUGGAACUGAGACACGGUCCAGACUCCUACGGGAGGCAGCAGUGGGGAAUAUUGCACAAUGGGCGCAAGCCUGAUGCAGCCAUGCCGCGUGUGUGAAGAAGGCCUUCGGGUUGUAAAGCACUUUCAGUCGUGAGGAAGGCGGCGUCGUUAAUAGCGGCGUUGUUUGACGUUAGCGACAGAAGAAGCACCGGCUAACUCCGUGCCAGCAGCCGCGGUAAUACGGAGGGUGCGAGCGUUAAUCGGAAUUACUGGGCGUAAAGCGCAUGCAGGUGGUUUGUUAAGUCAGAUGUGAAAGCCCGGGGCUCAACCUCGGAAUUGCAUUUGAAACUGGCAGACUAGAGUACUGUAGAGGGGGGUAGAAUUUCAGGUGUAGCGGUGAAAUGCGUAGAGAUCUGAAGGAAUACCGGUGGCGAAGGCGGCCCCCUGGACAGAUACUGACACUC
rnacentral:rRNA from 1 species